UUCCGUAGGUGAACCUGCGGAAGGAUCAUUACCGAGUGAGGGCCCUUUGGGUCCAACCUCCCACCCGUGUUUAUUUACCUCGUUGCUUCGGCGGGCCCGCCUUAACUGGCCGCCGGGGGGCUCACGCCCCCGGGCCCGCGCCCGCCGAAGACACCCCCGAACUCUGCCUGAAGAUUGUCGUCUGAGUGAAAAUAUAAAUUAUUUAAAACUUUCAACAACGGAUCUCUUGGUUCCGGCAUCGAUGAAGAACGCAGCGAAAUGCGAUACGUAAUGUGAAUUGCAAAUUCAGUGAAUCAUCGAGUCUUUGAACGCACAUUGCGCCCCCUGGUAUUCCGGGGGGCAUGCCUGUCCGAGCGUCAUUGCUGCCCUCAAGCCCGGCUUGUGUGUUGGGCCCCGUCCUCCGAUUCCGGGGGACGGGCCCGAAAGGCAGCGGCGGCACCGCGUCCGGUCCUCGAGCGUAUGGGGCUUUGUCACCCGCUCUGUAGGCCCGGCCGGCGCUUGCCGAUCAACCCAAAUUUUUAUCCAGGUUGACCUCGGAUCAGGUACGAUCCG
rnacentral:rRNA from 1 species